UACGUAGGGCGCAAGCGUUGUCCGGAAUUAUUGGGCGUAAAGAGCUCGUAGGCGGUCUGUCGCGUCGGCUGUGAAAGCCCGGGGCUUAACCCCGGGUCUGCAUUCGAUACGGGCAGACUAGAGUGUGGUAGGGGAGAUCGGAAUUCCUGGUGUAGCGGUGAAAUGCGCAGAUAUCAGGAGGAACACCGGUGGCGAAGGCGGAUCUCUGGGCCAUUACUGACGCUGAGGAGCGAAAGCGUGGGGAGCGAACAGG
rnacentral:rRNA from 1 species